UAGGGUGCUGAUGCUCUGCGGACUGUGGAUUUCUUCCUGCCGCUGAGUUUCAUCCGACUGAUUUGACCUUCCUCUUGACAGAAUCUGGUCAAUGCGGGGCCCUGGGUUGGGAAUUUUCAAGCAUUUCUUCCGUCCCUGAUGAAUUUUGAGACCACGAGUUGAUGUUACUUUAGUCCAGCCACACCUACAGGUCUGAAGAACGUGUCCAGCUGCUCGUUUUUCAAGAGUUUUGCCACUUACCUGAUUCAAUGUCGUGUCCGUUCCAAGGUUUGUUACUGGGUGGGUCAGUCGAUGAUAAAAAAGAAACAAAACAGAAC